GAUGAAGAACGUAGUGAAAUGCGAUAAGUAAUGUGAAUUGCAGAAUUCAGUGAAUCAUCGAAUCUUUGAACGCACAUUGCGCCCGCCAGUAUUCUGGCGGGCAUGCCUGUUCGAGCGUCAUUACAACCCUCAGGCCCCCGGGCCUGGCGUUGGGGAUCGGCGGAGCCCCCCGUGGGCACACGCCGUCCCCCAAAUACAGUGGCGGUCCCGCCGCAGCUUCCAUCGCGUAGUAGCUAACACCUCGCGACUGGAGAGCGGCGCGGCCACGCCGUAAAACACCCAACUCUUCUGAAGUUGACCUCGAAUCAGGUAGGAAUACCCGCUGAACUUAAGCAUAUCAAUAUGCGGAGGA
rnacentral:misc_RNA from 1 species